rnacentral:rRNA from 1 species
GACGAACGCUGGCGGCGUGCUUAACACAUGCAAGUCGAGCGGUAAGGCCCUUCGGGUACGACGAGCGGCGAACGGUCGAGUAACACGUAGACAACCUGCCUCCCAGUGGGGGAGUACCCGCUCGAAAGGGCGGCUAAUACCGCAUGUGGUCCGGAGCGGCAUCGCUCCGGCACUAAAGGUUUACUGCUGGGAGAUGGGUCUGCGCCCUAUCAGCUAGUUGGCGGGGU